rnacentral:rRNA from 1 species
GACGAACGCUGGCGGCGUGCUUAACACAUGCAAGUCGAACGGAAAGGCCCUGCUUUUGUGGGGUGCUCGAGUGGCGAACGGGUCAGUAACACGUGAGUAACCUGCCCUUGACUUUGGGAUAACUUCAGGAAACUGGGGCUAAUACCGGAUAGGAGCUCCUGCUGCAUGGUGGGGGUUGGAAAGUUUCGGCGGUUGGGGAUGGACUCGCGGCUUAUCAGCUUGUUGGUGGGGUAGUGGCUUACCAAGGCUUUGACGGGUAGCCGGCCUGAGAGGGUGACCGGCCACAUUGGGACUGAGAUACGGCCCAGACUCCUACGGGAGGCAGCAGUGGGGAAUAUUGCACAAUGGGCGGAAGCCUGAUGCAGCAACGCCGCGUGCGGGAUGACGGCCUUCGGGUUGUAAACCGCUUUCGCCUGUGACGAAGCGUGAGUGACGGUAAUGGGUAAAGAAGCACCGGCUAACUACGUG